UCCCUAGUGGCUCAGACGGUAAAGCGUCUGCCUGCAAUGCGGGAGACCCGGGUUUGAUCCCUGGGUCAGGAA
rnacentral:tRNA from 1 species